rnacentral:misc_RNA from 1 species
UUGAAUAAACCUGAUGUAGUUGUUGCUGGCUCUUUCGGGAGUAUGUGCACACCCAUCAUCUUUAUAUUUCCACCUGUGCACCUUUUGUAGACCCAGAGAAUUUGAGCAAUCAAGUUGUUUGGGCCUAUGUUUAUCAUAUACCCCAUAGUAUGUAUUAGAAUGUAUCAGUGGGCUUUGUGCCUAUAAACACUAUA